GCCUCGAUAGUCUAAAGGUUUAGAACGCUCGUAUGGAAUACAAGAGAUCCGGAUUCGAUUCCCGGCCGAGGUA
rnacentral:tRNA from 1 species